rnacentral:rRNA from 1 species
GACGAACGCUGGCGGCGUGCUUAACACAUGCAAGUCGAACGGAAAGGCCCUGCUUUUGUGGGGUGCUCGAGUGGCGAACGGGUGAGUAACACGUGAAUAACCUGCCCUUGACUUUGGGAUAACUUCAGGAAACUGGGGCUAAUACCGGAUAGGAGCUCCUGCCGCAUGGUGGGGGUUGGAAAGUUUCGGCGGUUGGGGAUGGACUCGCGGCUUAUCAGCUUGUUGGUGGGGUAGUGGCUUACCAAGGCUUUGACGGGUAGCCGGCCUGAGAGGGUGACCGGCCACAUUGGGACUGAGAUACGGCCCAGACUCCUACGGGAGGCAGCAGUGGGGAAUAUUGCACAAUGGGCGGAAGCCUGAUGCAGCAACGCCGCGUGCGGGAUGACGGCCUUCGGGUUGUAAACCGCUUUCGCCUGUGACGAAGCGUGAGUGACGGUAAUGGGUAAAGAAGCACCGGCUAACUACGUG